rnacentral:sRNA from 1 species
CGCCUAAACCCUCCGGGGCAUGGCAGAAAAACGCAACGAGCACAAAGAACCCGUCAUCGGGGUCGCUCGUUGCGUCAUAUAGGGAAACCUGUAUGUGAGCCGAAAGGCUC